rnacentral:SRP_RNA from 1 species
GCUGGGUGUGGUGGCUCACACCUGUAAUCCCAGCACUUUGGGAGGUCGAGGCAGGAGGAUCCCUUGGGCCCAGGAGUUCUAGACCAGCCUGGGCAAUAUAGGGAGACCCUGUCUCUA